AACGAACGCUGGCGGCACGUUUUAAGCAUGCAAGUCGAAUGGCAGUGGGGGCAACCCCAUGAGAAUGGCGAACGGGUGAGUAACACGUAGGUGAUCUGCCUGACGGAUGGGGAUAGCUUGUGGAAACACAGGGUAAUACCGAAUGAGCUGACGAGACUUUGGUUUUGUUAGUAAAGGUGCUACGGCACCGCCGACAGAGGAGCCUGCGGCUGAUUAGCUAGUUGGUGGGGUAAAGGCCUACCAAGGCGAAGAUCAGUAGCCGGCCUGAGAGGGUGUACGGCCACACUAGAACUGAGACACGGUCCAGACUCCUACGGGAGGCAGCAGCUAAGAAUCUUCCGCAAUGGGCGAAAGCCUGACGGAGCGAUGCCGCGUGAUCGAUGAAGGUCGAGAGAUUGUAAAGAUCUUUUCUACAUGAGGAAUAAGUCUGGGAGGGAAUGCCUGGAUGAUGACGUUAGUGUAGGAAUAAGCCCCGGCUAAUUACGUGCCAGCCGCCGCGGUAA
rnacentral:rRNA from 1 species